UACGUAGGGACCAAGCGUUGUCCGGAAUCAUUGGGCGUAAAGCGCGCGUAGGUGGCUUCGUAAGUCCGUUGUGAAAGUCAAAGGCUCAACCUUUGAAAGCCGAUGGAUACUGCGGAGCUAGAGUACGGAAGAGGCGAGUGGAAUUCCUGGUGUAGCGGUGGAAUGCGCAGAUAUCAGGAGGAACACCAAUAGCGAAGGCAGCUCGCUGGGACGUACUGACGCUGAGACGAAGAACGUGGGGAGCGAACAGG
rnacentral:rRNA from 1 species